UACGUAGGGAGCGAGCGUUGUCCGGAUUUAUUGGGCGUAAAGAGCGCGUAGGCGGCUCGGUAAGCCGGAUGUGAAACCUCCAAGCUCAACUUGGAGCGGCCAUUCGGAACUGCUGUGGCUAGAGUCUGGUAGGGGAACACGGAAUUCCUGGUGUAGCGGUGAAAUGCUUAGAUAUCAGGAGGAACACCGGUGGCGAAGGCGGGUCUCUGGGCCGAUACUGACGCUGAGGAGCGAAAGCAUGGGUAGCGAACAGG
rnacentral:rRNA from 1 species